CGAGAGCCGACGUCGUUUUUUUAUUUGCUCGCCACCUUCUUUCGUCCCGCGUCGAUGUUUCACGAUGCUUCUCUUCUAUUCGUCGCGAAAAUACGAUGCCAAGUGUAAGCUGCAUUUAUCGACACUCGUAAAUCUCGAGGUAACAGAAUAAUGGUUCAGAUUUAAGUAUCGUAGACUAACGUUGUAUUGGAGAAGGAAUUGAUGGACAUUAAGAAACAAGAUAUUAUGUAGUUAUCGAAUAAAUCUCGACGCCCUAAUCGUCUUUGAAAUGAUUCGAAGAACAGGUGUCUCGAAAACUCUAUUGCAAUCAUGGUACUAUCGACGGCGGGCCUAAAAAUAAAGUCACGAGUGUCGAGCAUCCCAACUGACGCAACUCGCAGGAGCUUUUCUCAGCGAUGGAUUGUCCAUCCGAAUUUCUACAUGUCAUCAAAUAUACGUAACAUGUAACUUACCUCGUAGUCUCUAUGUUAAUAAACCAGCGGACGGGGCGCAUCUACAGGUGCCUGAACGCGUUUCCGAUGGAACGUGUCGCGUAAAACGCGCACUUGGAGAAGCUCCAGGUGCGGAGGAGGAAGUACGUGUAAAUUGUGAUGAAGUAAAAAGAGAAGUUGGAUGGAUCUAGCGGCAAAGCCACGUGCGUUGCUAUUUUUCACAGAAACGAGACAGAAGCUGACUAUACGUUUUUAGAUUUAUCUAUACUAUAUAUGAGCAUAUAUUAUACAUCACAUACUAUCGAAUGAAUGAAAUAUUGUCAUAUAUCUUUUUCAGUUUAAACAAUCGAAUUAGCAAGAAAUUAAAAUUACAGAGUGCUCGUAUUUCAGAGGAUACAGAUAAACAUUAUCCCUAAUGGUUAUCCAGACCAGAACGAAAGGGAAAAAGUUCCUCGGAAAUUGAGGAAGGGGAUGUUUUUUUGUUCGAUAAGGAAAACAGCGUCAUUAAGUGCAAUCCUAUUCCGUUUCGAUCGUUCGGUAAAAAAAUAAAUGUUUCGGCGAGUGUGUCAAAUAUCGUCUCGAAAAGUAUCCGGAAACGCCUGGUUCUUCUUAUAAAUCAGCGUCGGUACACUCCCUCUUUCCACGACCAUGUCAUUUAGCGAGAAGUUUUCUGCUGGAAAAAAAGGGAAAAGCACGCGAUCGCUAUUUAAAAGGCUCGUAGGUGGGUGGCUUUUUAACCGAAGUAUAUACCGACAUAGGGAGAGGGCUUCGACUUCGCUCUUCGGCCUCAGUAUGGGGUUGCCGUGCUAUUUUCAGGCCGGUGGCUCGAUGCAGCUGUCGUGUUCUUCGGGUAAACCACCUCUCUUCUAUUCCACGGUCACUCGCGGGACAAGGUAGAACGUACAGAUUGGAAUUCUAAAUUCACGAUUCGAGAAUUCGUAAAGGAUGACGCAUCUUCGCUAAUUUUGACCAAAAUUAGACGAUCGCGAUAAAAGAAAUGUAGUACUACCGGAAGUUCGUUUUAUCGUUUUACCCUUUCUCGAAAUUGAUAUCCUUCUCAUGUUAUUUUCAUUUAUCUAACCAUUUUUCUAUAUUAUUAUCUUUUCUCGAUGUUUCUGAAACCUUCCAUUCUUUACGAUUAAAGUUGUUCUUUCUACUGUAGAAUUGAAACGAUAAUUGAUAAAACGCACUAAGGCUGAAUGUAUUAAUAAAAAAAAUAUUUUAUUUGUCAAUGUAAGAACUACGCGAAGUUAUACUUUUGUACGGAAUGGUAAAAGGCAUCAGGAGAUAGAAAGAUAGAAGCUAUGAGAACUAUUUAAUUGAUUGCCUCCAGCAAAUGUACGGGGAGAAGUGCGUGCUGAAGAAUAGAAGACGUGGAUGAAGAAGAUGACAAGAUUCGAAGAUCUUGGCAACGAGCCAGACGAGAUUUUCAGUCGUCUACGUGUACUUCCAACUUUCAUCCGUCUCCUCUUCUAGCCACCGUACACGUCCUCUAGGACCUAGGGUGCAACGACACCGGGUUUUAGAUGACAAUUUUCUAUUUUCAGUACAUGAGUCAUUGUAUGCACAUACCUGUUCUAUGUAAAGUUGAUGGUUUUCUAUGAAUUCUUAAAAUUCCAAGAAAGUGGCUUUACAAUAUAAGAAUCUAAAUUAUUAAUUUAGUAAACUUGCGUGAGAUACUAUAGUAUUAGUAUUAGUAUUUGAUUGUAAUCAAAUACAAGUUUAUGAAUCUCGAUGUAUAAUAAGGUGAAGACAAGAAAGAAAGAAGAAAGGAGUAUUAGAAGGUUAAAAAAUAUCAACCGGAACGGCCCUUAAUUUAGUUUCGGGUGCAAGAGGUUAACACAGGGUGGGGAUGUCCGUGGAAGUGCUCCUACAAGGGGAGAACGCCGUCAUACGAAGCACGUUGGUUCAUGUUUGGAGGAAUGUCUUUGGGUAUAAAGGGAGACAGUUCCUUCCGGAGACGGCGAACAGCCGCCUGUUUCACCCCUCUCGUCCCUCAGAUUUGUUCCCUUUCUUUAUAUCGUUUUUCUUGCGAUUCGUCGCCACUUACUAUCUAUUAAGAUCAAUGAAUAGAUAUUUUUACUCAAAGCUUUUUUACGUAAAGAAAGUCUUAUAAAUUUCAUCAAAAUCAUCUGAAAAUCAAUUUAUAUGCGAAUAUCUAAUAUAUUACAUUUUUAUUAUGUAUAUACACCAGAAAAUAAAGAAUAAUUUAAUGAUCAAUUUCAGAAAAGCAUGCAGAAUAAUGAAAUUUAUAAAGAGGACGGAAGUAUAGUAAUUCGUAGAUUAAUUGCAUGCCGAUCAGACUAUAGAACUAAAUAGCUUCGCAGGUGGCAAGCAGGCAUGCGAAUCUAAAAAGGGUCACACACACGAGCACGUGCUCGCAUUUUGCACAAUCUUUUCAAAGACGGAGGCGAUCAGCUGGCGGUAUUCUCUCUUCCUUUUCCCCUCUUAUCUCCUUUAACGACGAGAAAAAAGAAUUAAAAAGGAUAAAAAUGAGCAUACACCCCCUUCGUCCGCACCCGCAUCCUGUACCAGAGCAUAGUGCUGCUUUCGUAAAAACCGGCCUGUCGGUUUCCAUUCAAAAUGCGCGAGUCACGAGGGCUCAUUCACAAAUUUCACGACGAAAUUCUACACUCGGCCGGACCGUCUGCGAUCUUGAUCGACACAACAGAGACAAACACAUAAGAGUGAGAGAGAUCGGGCUAUCCUUUUUCUUGAAACCUCUUGUUGCUGGAUUUAUAUUCACGUAAGCUUUUUUUUUGCAACAAAAGAACCAACGAUGGUUCAUAAUGACGUACACGAUGCAUUUAAAUUCGUCGCAACCGGUAUGAGCACAGGAAUUUAUCGAGCAGUCAGCUGAUUUUACGUAUCUACAUAUACUGACGUAUAAGAUCUUUAAAUGAUCAUAAAAAUAAGGACACCCGAAAUUCUAUUGAAAAAAGUAAUCAAGAUAUGAGGUUUUACAAAAAGACUUUGUCACGAUCAGUGUUCUUAAUUGGCAUUGACGAAUGCACGAACAUUAGUACAAAUGAUAUUAGAUAGAAUUCUGUUCAUUGAUCUACGCUGACUGAAAUAUACUUAAUGAUCAUGUAGAUUAUUGCCCGUCUGAGAUCUGGAGAAUGUUAAUGACUUCCGUCUCCCGCAUCAAACAUCGGAAGCGCUAGGAUGUGAAAGAAAGAAGGAUGAACCGUUAACACGACGCACGGGUGCCGUUCGAUGAUUAUUCGACCGAGUGUCUGUUUUCUGAUGGGAUACAUCUCCUGUUGCAGUAGGUGGUUCCUUCUAUCGCUUCGCGUACGGACCACGUGCCACGCUGAUCCUCCCUCGUUGAUUCUCUUUCUUCCAUUGCCGUAUUCCAGACGGCUUUAAGGAGAGAUGAAAAAAAUGAAGGGGACGGAAAAAGAGGAAGUGGACUAGACGAUGAGGGGACUGAGGUCGUAGUCCUGAACAGUUUGCUGGUGGAUUCAUGGAAUUCUUUCUUCUACGCACUUUUAAUCGUGGCUCAUUGAAGAAUCCAGGCUCAAGAAGAUGCUCGUUGCACAUUAUCUCAAUCCUUUAAACAGUUUCCGUAGCGAUUAAUGAAUGACAUGGGAAGAACUAGUAACCGUUUUACUACACGGAAACCACAGGAAAGAGAGACUUGUAAUUUUUGUUUAAUAACGAAGCGAGAAACAUUUUUCGAAUCGCAUUGCAUUAGCGUUGUCUGAAAACAUUACUGUAUGAAAAUUCUACGAAGAAUGAUUAAGGUCGAUGAAGACGAAAAUGCGAUCUGUUGUAACGAGGGAAAUCGGACAUCUCUAAGUAUAGCUCGUAUUUGCAUGCAGAUCAGGGACGGAUCGUACUGGGUUGCCAAGCUGCUACAACGUGCAAAGUCCACAAGCAAUCAUUUGUAUCUACUUCGAUGACGAUUACGAACUUGGCAAUGCUCGGAAAGAAGCGCCAUUGUUGCACAACCAAAUUCCUUCUUUCGGCUUUGGGAUACUGAUUUCAAAAUUUCUCAUUGAGAAGUUUCUGUUAUUGUUACGAGAGUUUACAAUACUUUAUAUGAGGUGGUUUCUAGGAUCAGUUAUCAUUAUUGAUCAGUGAUCUUAAAGGACCACGUAGGAUUUGCCAACGAGGAAAGCGAGAGCCUCGUGCCAAGAGCGUUUAAUGACACUUUAUGAAAGACACUUCGUGAAGCUAAGAAAGAUAGUUUUUGUCUUGUUUGUAAACAUACAACAAUGUAUAAUAGGAGAAAAGAUACACUAUCAAUAUAGUAGUACACGAAAGACUAACUAAUCAAAAUGAUAAAUAUUGUUAAUUAGAUGCAAAGAAUAAUCAAAGAAGCAUGUAAAUAAAAUUAAAUAAUAAUACAAGAAGAUAAAUUAGAUGCAUCUAAUGACGUUUUAGAUGAGCAUGAAUUCACGAAAUUAAAACCAUGACCAUUUUGCAAACUCCUGGCCGACCACCAACGAUUAACCAUUUAUAAUUACGAGGAUACUACAUUUUGGCACGUGACACAACAUUUAUAGAUCGCGUCUCGAUUUAAUCGUCGUCGUUUCAAUUAUUUUUCUGGCUACCUGUCAUCAGAAGCGUGGAUCCGUGGAUCCAGUCGAUGCCAAUGAUCGAAAAAUAGAUCCGAGCGCAACCUGUUCGAAAUAGCUGGCGUGAAACCUGUAACGUAGCUGCGUGUGUGCCGUUAAUGUCAGCACGCUGAACGUGUAGAUCGGUAUUGGAAUACCGACAUCAUGGUCGGCAUUUAAAUGCAAAACACGACACAAGUCAAGUGAUUGCUGGAUGACCGUGUAUAUUGUUUCGGACAAUAUCUAUCCAUAGGUUGAUCUACCUUUGAAUGAUAAGAUUCUAUAUCCUAUGAUCAAUGGUAUUUUUUCAAUUUCAUUUUCAAUCCUUCGAGAGAAAUUAACCUUGUUAAUUGUAGAACCUUCAAUAACGUUUGCAACCCAGGUGGUAGGUUUCUGCGAUUCACGGGGCAAAUGGAGAUCAUGCUUGAAGGUGUCUAAGCUAAAGGGAAGGAAAUCUAAUUAUAGAAGUCGUUGUACCGCGUGCUGAAAGUGGUGGAGGGUGUGAGUACGGGUGCACGAAUGAGAAUCGGUUGCAUUGGGCGGCCAUAAAAUGCAGGCUGCAUCCGCUUGCCGCAGAUGUACUUGGAAUGGAGUUCCAGUACUACGACGAAACCAAAAGAAUCUCUCGUUUCGAGGUUCUAUGCCCUUCCAGAUAUCGAGGACAAUGAACUUGAAGUGUACGCGAUAGAAACAGAUUCCAUGGAUUCUUAUUUGACGGAAGAUCGAUCGCGAAAGGAAUGCGAGGUGGUCCGUUAUUCUAAACUAAACUGAAUUUGACCACUUCCAGACAUCUGGAUACACUUUCACUACCAUCGUUCUUGCUAUAAUGUAGAUGAAUGUCAAAAUGUUUACCGUUUCUUCAUUGUUAAACAUUUAGACUACAAGCUACAAACAAGCAUUUCGGAAAAUUAACAGUGGUGAAACUAACCACCCCUACAAUAUUUAUAACAGUUUUGGCUGGAAUCUCAUUUGGAUGAUUGUCUUAUCACGAGUAGAGCAAGUUCAUUACAGUAUUCAUUCAUGCAGGAGCCAUGUGGUUCCUUAAUCCACCCUACGAUAUUUCCUGUCUGAGUGAUAAAAGGGAUCAAACAUUUACUACUAAAACUUUACAAAGCAACAAAUAUUGCUCACUAAUAGAUCAUUCUUGCCCUUUAAAAAAUACUAAGCUCAUUUUUAAUUUUAUGAAUAAUCAGAGAAACACAUAACAUAUAUUGGUCUAGUGCUGAUAACAGCAAAUUCUAAUAACGGGGGACAAUAUAUCGUCAUUGCAUUUGCAAUCGAACAGAAAUAAAAAUAUUUGUAUCAUAAUUUCAUACGCGUUAACUAUUUCUUACGGGUGAUACGUUUAUCGUCAAUCUUACCCGUACAAAUGAUUGGUCACCCAACUGCACCAGCUGUGACAUUUCGCACACGAUCGACUCCUGCCGCUCGGACCGUGAUUAUUAUUGUUUCCUUCAUCUUUUUUUCUUUCUCUGAAAGUAGCGGCGCGUGUGUCCGUGACGUGGCCAUGUAAGGGCUAGGCGGGGGUGCUGGUCGCUAAUUUUAGUUCGUCUCCAGGGUUCCUGGAGUCGUCGGCGAAUCGGCAGCUGGUGAUUCAAGACGUAGCCUUGCACGUGGGUACGUGUCUCACCGUUCACGCACGACGGACAUCCCCCUUCUUGUUUCUCCUCUCUUCGAAGGAGGUCGACAUGUCCACUCGUUUCGUUCCAGAUGUGUGCUACGUUCAAAGUCACGCGAUAUAUUAGACAUAUUGCUGGGUACUAAGACGAACGAUUUCGAGGUCAUUUUGGUUGUUCGACUUGAGAUUAGAUUGGAAAAGAUUAAUAUCUUAGUACUUAAUCGAAACGAAUCUUUUAAGGUAAAAUCUUUUUUGAGAGAAUAUAUAUGUUUUUCGUUGUAUUUAAUUACUCAAAGGUAUUCUUCAAUUUUGAUGGAGAUUGUUAUCUGGCUUCUUCAACCCUUGAAAUCAAAAGGCAGAGAGGGAAGAGGAAGGGACGCGUGUGUCUCUUUGAGAAGGAGCUAAAGGGGAAACGGAGGAGAGGUAAACGAGAUCUGGCGGCGGCUGGUGCAGCGGAUGUUUGAAGCUGUUGAAAGUGAGGCGGUGCGGUGGUUCCUUUCGCCUUCUUUCUCUGUCUUUCCUGUUGCGUUUCCUUCAUCAGUUAGCCACGAUCACGGUAAAACACGGUUCGCGGAGGAAGCACCUCGGCGGAUGUGAUGUUUAGGACAUGGACCGGACAAAAAACUCUUUCCGUAUAAAUAGGCAACAGUGGUUGGUCCCGGUAUUGCCGUUUAACUUUUGACCCACAUAUUUUCAUUGAUUAUUUAUUAAAGCACGUAUUUAUUUUUCUUUUUUCUUUAUAGUAGCCUUGCGUGGCUUUGGUAUAGAAAGUAAAAUUACGUGUAUUAAUUAAAAAUUAAUAUUCGAUUAAUACUAAUAAAUUAGUAGUAAAUUAGGUCUUAUGUUUUAGUGGUCACGGUUGACAAGAGGAUAAUGAUUCUAACGAAGUUGUAAAUGCGUUGGUAACAUGAUCACUGUAAAGAACUGCAGCACUUGUUGGCCUGUUUCCACUUGGGUUUCGGAAGUCAAAUCU